AAGCGCAGUUAACAUGAGAACUUACCUCGCGAAGAAGGUCGACUCACAGUGGGAGAGAGCAGCGGUUACGACUCAGUGGGAGACCGAAGGAUUAAGCGAUGGGAAAGAGAAUGUGAUGAUGUUAGGGUUUGUGAUCUUUUGAGUUUUUUUCUUAUUAUUUUCGGAAAUCAAAAUCAAAAUAAGCAAAAAAUUAAGGAGGGCAAUAACCCCGCGCGUUCAAUAUUCACCAAAUUCACAGCGGGAAAUGUGAAAAAAAAUUUCCAGACCUAUACCCACGGAUAAGAGACACCUACACCUACGGCUAGAACUACUGUGGCUAAAGGUGUCCGUUGGUAUAUGGAAUA
rnacentral:lncRNA from 1 species